GACGAACGCUGGCGGCGUGCUUAACACAUGCAAGUCGAACGGAAAGGCCCUGCUUUUGUGGGGUGCUCGAGUGGCGAACGGGUGAGUAACACGUGAGUAACCUGCCCUUGACUUUGGGAUAACUUCAGGAAACUGGGGCUAAUACCGGAUAGGAGCUCCUGCUGCAUGGUGGGGGUUGGAAAGUUUCGGCGGUUGGGGAUGGACUCGCGGCUUAUCAGCUUGUUGGUGGGGUAGUGGCUUACCAAGGGUUUGACGGGUAGCCGGCCUGAGAGGGUGACCGGCCACAUUGGGACUGAGAUACGGCCCAGACUCCUACGGGAGGCAGAAGUGGGGAAUAUUGCACAAUGGGCGGAAGCCUGAUGCAGCAACGCCGCGUGCGGGAUGACGGCCUUCGGGUUGUAAACCGCUUUCGCCUGUGACGAAGCGUGAGUGACGGUAAUGGGUAAAGAAGCACCGGCUAACUACGUG
rnacentral:rRNA from 1 species